UCCCUGAUGGUCUAGUUGCUAGGAUUCGGCGCUUUCACCGCCGCGGCCCGGGUUCGAUCCCCGGUCAGGGAA